rnacentral:lncRNA from 1 species
CCCUUCCGGAUUAUAAGCAGUAGUCAGUGAUAGUUUAACUCUACAUUUUUCAAAGAACUUACGAGCUUCUUGUGCAUUUAAUUCUCCACGAUCUGCAGUGAUUUUUCCUACGCACCUGUAACGGCAAAUGACAUCUUCAAGCAAAAACCUACAAAUCCCCUUUGUAGAUUUUGUCCUCAAUGCUCUUCCUUCUACUUGAUUUGAUAAAUCUUCACGAACUAAAACCAAAUAUAUCAUCUGCCAUAACCCAACCGGCAUAAUAACCAAAUCAACAACCCAUUUAAAAUGAAUAGCCAGAGGAUACGUAGGAUGAAG